UAGGGAAUAUUGGACAAUGGGGGCAACCCUGAUCCAGCCAUGCCGCGUGAGUGAAGAAGGCCCUCGGGUUGUAAAGCUCUUUUGUCCGGAAAGAAAAGCUUCGGGUUAAUACCCCGGGGUUCUGACGGUACCGGAAGAAUAAGCACCGGCUAACUUCGUGCCAGCAGCCGCGGUAAUACGAAGGGUGCAAGCGUUACUCGGAAUUACUGGGCGUAAAGCGUGCGUAGGUGGUUGUUUAAGUGUGAUGUGAAAGCCCUGGGCUCAACCUGGGAAUGGCAUUGGNAACGGGGGAGCUAGAGUGCGGUAGAGGGUAGUGGAAUUCCCGGUGUAGCAGUGAAAUGCGUAGAGUUCGGGAGGAACAUCUGUGGCGAAGGCGACUGCCUGGACCAGCACUGACACUGAGGCACGAAAGCGUGGGGAGCAAACA
rnacentral:rRNA from 1 species